UGCGUAGGCGGAUUUUUAAGUCAGUGGUGAAAGCCCGGAGCUCAACUCCGGAACUGCCAUUGAUACUACUAAUCUUGAAUACAGUUGAGGUGGGCGGAAUGUGUAGUGUAGCGGUGAAAUGCUUAGAUAUUACACAGAACACCGAUUGCGAAGGCAGCUCGCUAAACUGUUAUUGACGCUGAGGCACGAAAGCGUGGGGAGCGAACAGGAUUAGAUACCCUGGUAGUCC
rnacentral:rRNA from 1 species